GACGAACGCUGGCGGCGUGCUUAACACAUGCAAGUCGAACGGUGAAAGCGGAGCUUGCUCCGCUGGAUCAGUGGCGAACGGGUGAGUAACACGUGGGCAACCUGCCCUUCACUUCGGGAUAACUCCGGGAAACCGGGGCUAAUACCGGAUAUGACCUCUGCGGGCAUCCGCGGAGGUGGAAAGUUCUUCGGUGAAGGAUGGGCCCGCGGCCUAUCAGCUUGUUGGUGAGGUAGUGGCUCACCAAGGCGACGACGGGCAGCCGGCCUGAGAGGGCGAACGGCCACACUGGGACUGAGACACGGCCCAGACUACUACGGGAGGCAGCAGUGGGGAAUAUUGCGCGAUGGGCGAAAGCCUGACGCAGCAACGCCGCGUGCGGGAUGACGGCCUUCGGGUUGUAAACCGCCUUCAGCAGGGAAGAAGCCGCAAGGUGACGGUACCUGCAGAAGAAGCACCGGCUAACUACGUGCCAGCCGCCGCCGUAA
rnacentral:rRNA from 1 species